CUGUUCCUGAUUUUGAAUGCUUUGUUUAGUCCCGUGUUUGGAGCACAUGAGAGGGAGAAUUGGAGACCCUCUGUAAAAUCAAGCCAAGAUUGCACGGGCAAGGAGGAUUCAGCUCCAAAGAGUGUUAGAAGCUGGAGCCCAAAGCAGUAUCUACGUUCUCUCUCCCUCUGCCAGCUCAAUGCUCCCUCUGAAGUGAGAUCUGCUCCAGUCAGACGGACAAAUCAGGACAGCCUUGUUUUAUGGGUUCAUCACAAAACAACACGCUCUGGAAAAGCUGCUCGUAAAGCUGCCUGCCUGGCACUGCACGUCUUGGGGACUCGACUCAGGCUCCUUGUGUGAGGUGGCACUUUCAUCGUCACCUUCCAGGAUGCUGCAGGUGGAGUCUGACGGGAAAAGCCCUUAUAAAACCUGUCUGAGAUAGAUUCUUUGACUACCAAUGAGGAAGAGGAUAAAUGGCUGCAAAUAGGGGAUGCUGCCAUCCUAACAAUGCAAACCACGCAUUCAGACAGGGAGCAAACCAUGAGCAGUGACUGGGAUCAGAGAACUGGGACUGAGAUAGGAACUUCUCAUCUUUCCGGUCUCUGCUCAGUCCCAGCCUGGGUUUGUGCCUGCAGAACAUCGCUCGGGGCCCAUGGGUCAGACUGAAGAACGGUGCAGGAUGCGUCUGUCUGAGUCAAGACCCUAAAAAUGUGAUCCAGUGCCCUCUGGAGCUGCUGGAAAAGCUCCCAAUGACUCUCCAGAGUGUUUUCUGACCACAGGCCCAGGUCGUUUGCUGACCGCUCAGCCAUGCACUGAAGCCACCAGCAUUCUUCCAGUUUUCCCUGCAUUGCAAACAAGCCGUCACGAUCUGCCUGACAUCCCUGAAGUCGAAGCUAAGAAAUAAUUGAGCCCAAGAUGCCAGACUCCCAUUUUGUCAAGGAGAUGGUGCAUUUCAGUAACAGCUCAGGCACACAGGUGCAGUCAGAGGGGAAGCUCAAAUAGCUGCUGCUGUUAUCCUGUUAACUGAAAAGUGUAACUGCAGCCUCAUGGGCAGGGGCAGAACAUCACUGUGUCUUGAGAUACUUUUUCUUUCUCAUCUAAUGAUGAUUUGCUCAUCCUUUUGUUCAGAGGAUAUUCAUUAAACAGGGAACAGGAGCAGGUGGCAGCACUCUAGUUCAACACAUGCUACAAUCCAGAGGGGACUCAUUUCUUUGCUCAGUAAGGUUUGCAUUUCCCAUGUCAUAUCUGUUGCACUGUGUCCCUUUGUCCUCUAAUGCUGUAGGGGCUGUCGAGCCCGUCGCUAACUUGGUUCAACAGACAGCUAAGAGUUGGUUUAGUCACAGAUUUAUCUCAUCAGUCUGGGAAGUGCUCAAAUCCCUCUUCAGGUGGAUGUCCUUAUCUCUGAUUAUGCACACAUUUUUCUCCUGUAUUUUGAGAUGAGAGGAAAACAUGGCUCAUCUUUUGCAGCCCCUGAAGCUGGAGUCUCACUCCAUUCACCCUCACAAAAGCCUGGAGUCACUUCAUUAGUCGGAGUCGUUCCAGCCUGCCCAAAAUCAGGAGGGAGCCGGGCACCAAGUGGGCUGGCAGCAAACCUCUGCUGUCAACAGCUGGAAAGAAAGGAAGGAAGAAAAUCAUCCACUCUGCUGACUACCUCCCUAACAGGAUAAAGGCAAUAUUUUGCAAUAAUCUUGCUCAGAGUGUUUUCCACAGACAUUUGCUCUGGUGUGAGCUGCUGUGCCGAUUCAGCUGCUGUCAAGUAUUUCCAUAGUUCGAGUCUGCAGAAGAAGAGCGACAUUAGUGUCAGCGUUGGAAAAUUCAUGCUUAGAUUCACUGCCUCAGCUUGCCAGGGAUUUUAAGGCCGGAACAGACCAUUACGAUUAUCUACCUGAUAUCCUUGAUAACCCAGGUGAGCAAGGUUCACACCAGGGUUUCCACAUCAAAGCCAGAGACUGGCAGCUGAGCUGGGUGUUUGAAAAGGACCCUGGGCCUCAGUUCAAAAGACUCCAUAACCACCUCUUGGUAACCUGGCUCUGGGAUUUAAGUACUGCCACUGCCAAUGUGUGACCUUUACUUCUAUCAAAAUGUGCCUAGUUUUUACCUACAGUCCUGCUAUUUACAGAUUUUACAGGGUAACUUCUAUUAAGUCAUAUAAUUUUCUGCAAUAACAAAUGAAUCUACUAUUUUUGCAGCUAUGGAUCAUACCUGCUUGUCAAAAAAGGAAAUUAGAAGGUAUUUUACCUGACAAAAGAUGAGUUAGAGCUUGCGGGGUGCCCGUGCCAAGUGCAAGGACAUCGAUGCUUAAAGCAGGAAAGCAUAGGAGCUGUGCUGUUCUGGUUGGUGUGAAGAUCAUGAUUGAUACAGGUGUAAUCCAAUGAAGGAAAAAUGAUUGAUAUGUUUAUUAUUUGAAGUUCGGUUUCAACCAUUUUGACUCAGCCUUAAAUGCAUUAGGCUUUAUUUUCACUCGGGGAGACACUGCUCAGCUAAUUGCAUUUGGGGGCUGCAGGUUCUGAGAAGGUCCAGCUCCGAGGAGCGUGGGCUGCUUCCCAGGACGAAAUGAGCCCGGCUUACGGCACCACGCUCCGCUCCUGUAGCGAAUGAUGCGCGGGAACAGGCGGCAGCAGCUUCCUUCUAAAUGGGAUAUUGUUUCAAGAGAAAAUUGAAAUAGAAAAAUGAAAUAUCUUUCGCUACAUUUGUGAGGUUUUAUAUCCAAACAACCCCUCACAGUCGCCAUCAAAUAUUUUGUCAGACCCAACCUGAUUUGUCACAGCAGAAAAAGAAUAAAAAAUAAGAACAUCUAGCAAGGGUUAAACAGCCUUUUAAUGUCUCACUGUUGCUCUCUGACCUUCCCAGGGUUUUAAGACAGUCCUUCAGGAAUUCGUGAUUAACGUGAGAUCUUCGUGGAGCAGCUCCUGCUGCAACACCAGCCGGUCACAAAGCAUUUCCGUGGAGUUUCGGCUGGGCAGGUGCGGACAGCAGGUCUCCGAGGAGCCGACAUGGUCCAGCUGGGAAGGGGAGCACUGGCCGGGAGCUUCAGCAGAAGUUUGGUCACCAGCACGGGCUCCGGCAGCCGCACCGGUUGCUGGCGCAGCCCUCGCACCCUGCCCCGCUGGCACAUCCCGCCGUCCCCAUCCACUCACUCCCGGUUUUCUCAUUGUUCUUCAGGUCCAAGGUCGGUGUUUCCCCUCUCUCCCCAGCCAGCUCCCGCAGUGCUGGAUCCAUUUACAAGUGCACAGCCACUGGAAUCUCAACUACUGCCUGGACAGCACCAGUGUCCCCGCUUCCCUCUAUUCCCCAGGAACGGCUUGGGGCACCACGAAGAGAAGGAGCUGGUCCCUGCAUCUGCUUCAGCAUGCGGCUCCUGUGCUGGCUGGAGCCAGGGCAGGACAAUCAUAGAAUCACAGAACGGUUUGGGUCAAAGGGACCUUCCCAGCUCCCCAGUGCCACCCCUGCCAUGAGCAGGGACAUCUUCACCAGCUCAGGUUGCUCAGAGCCCGUCCAGCCUGGCCUGGGAUGUCUCCAGGGAUGGUUCAUCCACCACCUCUCUGGCCAACCUGGGCCAGGCUCUCACCACCCUCAGGGCAACAAUUUCUUCCUCGUGUCCAGCCUGAAUCUCCCUCUUUUAGUUUAAAAAACUAAAGGUCCCAAAGGCCAAGAGCUGGCAGACAGUGAGAGCAGCACGGGGCUGGUGUUUCUCCAUAGUCAGCGCACACGUUGAAAGAGAAACAAGCUGUGGGAUCAGAUCUCACUGACAGAAAUCAGAUAACCCUGGUAAAGUAAGAAACUUCACCUGGGUUCACACCAGCGUAGUGUCUGGUUUGUUCCCUCCCUCCUUGAGUGAUGAAUAAAUGUGGAGACAGUUAAUAAUGAAAGACUACUUCAAUAAGAUUUAGUCUUUAUUGUUGUUAUGCUUCCAUCAUUUGUCAGGCACUCGAACCAGAGGAAACGUCAGUCUGGGAAACGCUGCUGAUACCUGUACGGUAGCAGAUCUAUCAGUGUUGGUGCCCGGGCACUGGCCAAGCGGGGGGCAGUGUGACCGGGGAGGUGUCACCAUGUGUCACUGGCACUCCUGUUCCCAUCCCUCAGGACAGUCAUUUGAAGAGCAGUCACAUUUACUUCAUAGCUUCUAAACAGCAUCGCUAUUGGAGGUGGGCAGUGUUUCUGAGCCCAAAAUCACCUUGAUAGGCAAUGUGGUGUUUUCAGGAUGAAAAUGUUGUCAGAUGGACUGUUCAACUUCCAAAAUUCAGGCAAAGGUGUUUAUUCGGAAUGACCUUUGGGUAGUAUUCUUUAUUUGCUAGCCACUCCCCACCUUGGUAAUUGGUUUUCUUUCUUUUUAGAGAGAAUCCUAUUUGUGCUCUCUCACCUUCACGGCUGAUGAGCUGCUAGGUAUCCUGGCUGAGGUGGAGUGAGCGCUUAAGAGCAUAUCUGUGAUUUUCUCACUUUGAUAGCAGUAAGAAAACACAUGAAAAUAUGCACAGGUUUUGUUUUCAGACCGUCUUCUGCUGCAUGUGGUAUGCGGUUCCUGGAAGAAAAGGCACUUGGAUACACAGAGUAGGUGCACAGGAACCAAAAAUAGUGCCAAUGUCAAUGUCACAUCGCGCAGGUGUUCUGCACCCGUGGUGGCAGCGUGCAGGAGACCGGCGUGAAAUGCGCAGCCCUUCCCCACAACAACAGCUGUACGGGUACAUCACGGCCACCUUACAGGUUUCUGCUUUUUGAGAUGCUGUUCACUGUGUUUUCCCACUUUAAGGUGAAGUCGGAUGAGACCCGGCUCCCCCCCCCAACAUCCCUUUACUGCUUGUAGACUCUGAGAUGGGGCCGAAAGAGAAUCUGAGAGCGGUGAGUUCCGAGCUCAGCGCUGCUCACCCGCCUCUGUCAUCCCACCGAGCUCACAAAUUGGUGUUAACACGUCCUGGAAAAAACACCAUAUAUAAAAAGGGAACCUGGCUCACACGUGGGAGCAAACCCGCUACUGGCGCUGCGGAGCACGGGUCCGGCAGGACCACCCGUGCAGCCAAAAUCCAAAGCCCAUCAGUGUUCAGCCCCCGGCAGCACCUGCCCAGAGCAAGCAGGACAAAGCUGCCUGUUUAGGCAACUUAUUUUCUUUAAACAUCAUAA